GGUGUCUAUCGUAUUUCGUAUACGCAUCGAAUAAUCGUUCCCCACUGCCCACUCCGCCAUUCGGCGCUCCGUAACUGCGUUCACUUCUCUCUCGCUCGCCUGUAGAAUCUGCCUGCCCUGAACCUGAGAAUCAACUACUACCUGCAACAAAACGCAAAGGGAAGGAAUCAAUCUUGACAUCAUUUAGCAUUUUGAUUUUACUUUCCUUCCGUGUUCGUUUGGACCCGUGGACGGUGGACUCGGCGUUUCUCGCACCUGCAAAUAUGUUCAAGAAAUUCUCCUCUGAGGAUGUAUCCUCACAAAAUCAAGUAAAAGCAUCUGUGCAGCGUAAGAUCAGGCAAAGUAUUGCCGACGAGUAUCCGGGCCUGGAACCAGUGUUAGAUGAUUUGCUACCAAAGAAAGUACCCCUCAUUGUUGUUAAAUGUCAAAACCAUCUGAAUCUGGUUGUGGUGAACAAUGUGCCUUUGUUUUUCAAUGUUCGUGAUGGUCCAUACAUGCCUACGCUACGGCUGCUUCAUCAGUAUCCAAAGAUAAUGAAAAUGCUGCAAGUGGAUAGAGGUGCAAUUAAAUUUGUUCUUGCUGGUGCAAACAUAAUGUGUCCUGGCCUUACAUCUCCUGGUGGGGCUUUGGAUGAUGAUGUUCUGGAAGAAACUCCUGUGGCCAUAAUGGCUGAGGGAAAGCAACAUGCUCUUGCUAUUGGUUUCACAAAAAUGUCCGCAAAAGACAUAAGAGCUAUCAAUAAAGGAAUUGGUGUGGAUAACAUGCAUUAUCUGAAUGAUGGUCUGUGGAAGAUGGAGCGACUGGAUUGAGGAUGGGUCGAGCAACUUCAUCAGUAAGGGAUUUUUCACAAGGGGCAGUACAUAUAAAGGAGAAUAGAGCACUGCUUUGAGACCUCCCCUUCCCAUGAUGAAUCAGCCCAGCAGAUCAUAAGUGGAUUCAGGUCUGUCACAGUUAUCUGGUUAUCUCUAUCGGAUCACAAGGCUGAAUAUGUUGUCAAACUUUAGCCCAAAAGCUGGUGAGAGAAUUAUACAAGUGUAGCUCAAAAAACGAAGUUUAGCAUAAUCGUUUUGACAAAAUGAUGGGCUGUAACUAUUUUAUGAACAUAAGUUGUACGAAAGAGGAUUAUGAGUCAGGAAAGGAGCCACAAUGUUUGCAGUGAGUAUUGGGCGCUCUUCGUGAUUUUGAGGCGGGCUGUUCUACUUUCUUCCGAUGCUCUCAUCUACAGACCUAAAUGCAUAUCAUUUUGAAGAAGUAAUUGACCUUUCCUGGUGUUUGCCAUGA